CCUACGGGAGGCAACAGUGAGGAAUAUUGGUCAAUGGGCGUAAGCCUGAACCAGCCAAGUCGCGUGAGGGAUGAAGGUUCUAUGGAUCGUAAACCUCUUUUAUAAGGGAAUAAAGUGUGGGACGUGUCCUGUUUUGUAUGUACCUUAUGAAUAAGGAUCGGCUAACUCCGUGCCAGCAGCCGCGGUAAUACGGAGGAUCCGAGCGUUAUCCGGAUUUAUUGGGUUUAAAGGGUGCGUAGGCGGCCUUUUAAGUCAGCGGUGAAAGUCUGUGGCUCAACCAUAGAAUUGCCGUUGAAACUGGGAGGCUUGAGUAUGUUUGAGGCAGGCGGAAUGCGUGGUGUAGCGGUGAAAUGCUUAGAUAUCACGCAGAACCCCGAUUGCGAAGGCAGCCUGCCAAGCCACGACUGACGCUGAUGCACGAAAGCGUGGGGAUCAAACAGGAUUAGAUACCCCAGUAGUC
rnacentral:rRNA from 1 species